rnacentral:lncRNA from 1 species
CUCCCCGAAGCCUCUCAUUAUCCCUUAGGACCAAUAAAAGAGAGAACGGGUUAGAGAGAACGCCUCAAUCGGGAUCCACAAGCAAACAUCUCCGAAAAAUACUUCAUAGACAAUGCAAAUUACAAACAAACUUUACAAGCUCUGAACAGUUGCACAACAAAGGGUAAAAUGAUCCAUUAUAGACCGAAAAUCUCUCACACGUGUCCACAUGACACAACCUUUAUUUACAAGCCUAAAGAGGCCACCAACCUAACUAAAGUGGGACUAUUAAGCCUUCGGCCG